AGCGGCGGACGGGUGAGUAAUGCUUGGGAAUCUACCUAGUAGUGGGGGAUAACGUGUGGAAACGCACGCUAAUACCGCAUACGUCCUACGGGAGAAAGCAGGGGAUCUUCGGACCUUGCGCUAUUAGAUGAGCCCAAGUCGGAUUAGCUAGUUGGUGGGGUAAUGGCUCACCAAGGCUACGAUCCGUAGCUGGUCUGAGAGGAUGAUCAGCCACACUGGGACUGAGACACGGCCCAGACUCCUACGGGAGGCAGCAGUGGGGAAUAUUGCACAAUGGGCGAAAGCCUGAUGCAGCCAUGCCGCGUGUGUGAAGAAGGCUCUAGGGUUGUAAAGCACUUUCAGUAGGGAGGAACAGCUUAAGACUAAUACUCUUGAGCCUUGACGUUACCUACAGAAGAAGCACCGGCAAACUCCGUGCCAGCAGCCGCGGUAAUACGGAGGGUGCGAGCGUUAAUCGGAAUUACUGGGCGUAAAGCGCGCGUANGUGGUUUGAUAAGCUAGCUGUGAAAGCCCCGGGCUCAACCUGGGAACUGCAGUUAGAACUGUCUGGCUAGAGUACAGUAGAGGGUGGCGGAAUUUCCUGUG
rnacentral:rRNA from 1 species